rnacentral:rRNA from 1 species
UGGGGAAUAUUGGACAAUGGGCGAAAGCCUGAUCCAGCCAUGCCGCGUGUGUGAAGAAGGUCUUCGGAUUGUAAAGCACUUUAAGUGGGGAGGAAGGGCAGUAAGCGAAUACCUUGCUGUUUUGACGUUACCGACAGAAUAAGCACCGGCUAACUCUGUGCCAGCAGCCGCGGUAAUACAGAGGGUGCAAGCGUUAAUCGGAAUUACUGGGCGUAAAGCGCGCGUAGGUGGUUCGUUAAGUUGAAUGUGAAAGCCCCGGGCUCAACCUGGGAACUGCAUCCAAAACUGGCUAGCUAGAGUAGUGCAGAGGGUGGUGGAAUUUCCUGUGUAGCGGUGAAAUGCGUAGAUAUAGGAAGGAACACCAGUGGCGAAGGCGACCACCUGGGCUCAUACUGACACUGAGGUGCGAAAGCGUGGGGAGCAAACAGG